GACGAACGCUGGCGGCGUGCUUAACACAUGCAAGUCGAACGGUGAAGGGGUCUGCUUUUGUGGGCCCUGGAUGAGUGGCGAACGGGUGAGUAACACGUGAGUAACCUGCCCCCUUCUUCUGGAUAACCGCAUGAAAGUGUGGCUAAUGCGGGAUAUUCUGGGUCUGUCGCAUGAUGGGUCUGGGAAAGAUUGCGCCUUUGGGUGUUUUUGGUGGGGGAUGGGCUCGCGGCCUAUCAGCUUGUUGGUGGGGUGAUGGCCUACCAAGGCGGUGACGGGUAGCCGGCCUGAGAGGGUGGACGGUCACACUGGGACUGAGACACGGCCCAGACUCCUACGGGAGGCAGCAGUGGGGAAUAUUGCACAAGGGGCGCAAGCCUGAUGCAGCGACGCCGCGUGAGGGAUGGAGGCCUUCGGGUUGUAAACCUCUUUCGCCAGUGAAGCAGGCCUGCUCCUUGUGGGUGGGUUGACGGUAGCUGGAUAAGAAGCGCCGGCUAACUACGUG
rnacentral:rRNA from 1 species